AAAAGUAUUACCAAUACCAAGACCGUGUCCGAUUCUGCAAAGCAAAGAAGAAGAAAAGAAGAAACGGACGCGCGUGCGUGCGCACGACGCCACGCGACACCACCCGCCGACCACCGCACCGUCGGUCGAACCAAGGAGAAGCAUCCACCCCCCGCACGCACUUCCCCGUCCAGAUCGAUCAGGCCGCCGGCGCGCUCUGCUCCCCCCGAUGCAGGACCAGGCCGGGGCCGCCUCCGGCUCCGGGGAUCCGGACCCUCCGCCGGAGCACGCCGGCGGCGAGGGCGGCUCCUCCUCCGCCGCGGCCGCCGCCAGGCUCCCCUCCCGCAACGCCUCCUCCAAGUACGACUUCGUCAAGGUCAAGGUCUGGCUCGGGGAGAACGCCGACCACUACUACGUCCUCUCCAGGUUCCUCCUCAGCAGGAUGCUCACCGUCACCAAGGCUCAUCAAGCUAUACUAAUUGUUUCACAGAGUGACUUAGAGGCCAACCUUUUCAAGCUAAUGGAGAAAAGGGGAUAUGGAGAGGACUACAUUAAUCGAUAUAAGAUGAUGACAAGAUUCCAUCAUCAAAGAGUACCACUAGUAAUUUUGGUGUGUGGAACUGCUUGCACUGGAAAAUCAACAAUUGCUACACAGCUAGCUCAAAGGCUCAACCUACCAAAUGUUUUACAGACAGACAUGGUAUAUGAGUUGUUGCGGACAUCAACAGAUGCCCCGCUAACUUCAGUACCUGUGUGGGCUCGGGAUUUUAAUUCACCUGAAGAACUUAUCACCGAAUUUUGCAGAGAAUGCAGAGUUGUUCGCAAAGGUUUGGCUGGUGAUUUGAAGAAAGCAAUGAAAGAUGGGAAGCCAAUUAUAAUAGAGGGAAUUCAUUUGGAUCCAAGCAUUUACCUGAUGGACGAGGAGAAUGCAGAUGACAAUUCCAGAAUUGAGAAAAAGGUUGAAUCUGGAAAUUCAUCCAUCUCUGCAGAAAAGAAAACAGAACAGCAAUCAGAAAAUGGUCUACCUGAGAACAUUGUAAGUGUUCUAAAGGAAGAUAUCAUACAAAGCCAGGACUGCCUGCCUGAGAGUAGGACCAGUGAAGGUCUGUCUGGUGCUGACAGCCAUGAGAUUACCUCUUCUGAUUCUGAAGAGAAAAUUCUCAAAGCUGAAGGCAAUGGACAAAAGGAUUUGGACCAACAGAAGAGCAACAGUGCCAAGAAAGACAAGCCUGCUGCUGAACCGAUAGUUGUUCCAAUUGUGUUGAGGAUGUCUGAUUUUGAUCACAAGGCAUUGUUAGAGGAAUGGAUAGCCACUAGAGCUAUCAGAGAUAAUUGCCUUCCUCAGGAUCAUCGAAAGCUUAUAAACAACCUCAAACUUAUUCAGGAUUAUCUUUGCUCUUUUGAGGCACAGGGAUUGACUGUUGUUGACAUCUCAGCAAACUCGUUUCCUCAAACGUUAGAUUGGCUUCAUGGCUAUCUUCUUCAGUGCAUUGAGCGCGGCCUUCUGGCUGCAUGUUCAGAAGGCCCCAAGCAAUAGGAAAACCAAUUAACAUGACAGUUCUCGUAAGCACACAAGGCGAUGUGAGAGAGACUCAACAGAAUUGCUCGGCGUGGAAUCUGUUAGCAUACAUAAUCUUUUCUCACUUUGCUGGUUAUAUGUAAUGUGUAUGAUCUCUAGUCAUGGGUUGUUUGCGUUGGGCAUAAUAGAGUAUAAUCUUCUUCCUUUAAGUUUGGUGUGUUUCAUUUGUGUUGUAAUAGUAAGUGCUAGCAACUUGUGCAAAUUAUGA
rnacentral:rRNA from 1 species